UAAGCGACUAAGCGUACACGGUGGAUGCCCUGGCAGUCAGAGGCGAUGAAGGACGUGCUAAUCUGCGAUAAGCGUCGGUAAGGUGAUAUGAACCGUUAUAACCGGCGAUUUCCGAAUGGGGAAACCCAGUGUGAUUCGUCACACUAUCAUUAACUGAAUCCAUAGGUUAAUGAGGCGAACCGGGGGAACUGAAACAUCUAAGUACCCCGAGGAAAAGAAAUCAACCGAGAUUCCCCCAGUAGCGGCGAGCGAACGGGGAGCAGCCCAGAGCCUGAAUCAGUGUGUGUGUUAGUGGAAGCGUCUGGAAAGGCGCGCGAUACAGGGUGACAGCCCCGUACACAAAAAUGCACAUGCUGUGAGCUCGAUGAGUAGGGCGGGACACGUGGUAUCCUGUCUGAAUAUGGGGGGACCAUCCUCCAAGGCUAAAUACUCCUGACUGACCGAUAGUGAACCAGUACCGUGAGGGAAAGGCGAAAAGAACCCCGGCGAGGGGAGUGAAAAAGAACCUGAAACCGUGUACGUACAAGCAGUGGGAGCACGCUUAGGCGUGUGACUGCGUACCUUUUGUAUAAUGGGUCAGCGACUUAUAUUCUGUAGCAAGGUUAACCGAAUAGGGGAGCCGAAGGGAAACCGAGUCUUAACUGGGCGUUAAGUUGCAGGGUAUAGACCCGAAACCCGGUGAUCUAGCCAUGGGCAGGUUGAAGGUUGGGUAACACUAACUGGAGGACCGAACCGACUAAUGUUGAAAAAUUAGCGGAUGACUUGUGGCUGGGGGUGAAAGGCCAAUCAAACCGGGAGAUAGCUGGUUCUCCCCGAAAGCUAUUUAGGUAGCGCCUCGUGAAUUCAUCUCCGGGGGUAGAGCACUGUUUCGGCAAGGGGGUCAUCCCGACUUACCAACCCGAUGCAAACUGCGAAUACCGGAGAAUGUUAUCACGGGAGACACACGGCGGGUGCUAACGUCCGUCGUGAAGAGGGAAACAACCCAGACCGCCAGCUAAGGUCCCAAAGUCAUGGUUAAGUGGGAAACGAUGUGGGAAGGCCCAGACAGCCAGGAUGUUGGCUUAGAAGCAGCCAUCAUUUAAAGAAAGCGUAAUAGCUCACUGGUCGAGUCGGCCUGCGCGGAAGAUGUAACGGGGCUAAACCAUGCACCGAAGCUGCGGCAGCGACGCUUAUGCGUUGUUGGGUAGGGGAGCGUUCUGUAAGCCUGCGAAGGUGUGCUGUGAGGCAUGCUGGAGGUAUCAGAAGUGCGAAUGCUGACAUAAGUAACGAUAAAGCGGGUGAAAAGCCCGCUCGCCGGAAGACCAAGGGUUCCUGUCCAACGUUAAUCGGGGCAGGGUGAGUCGACCCCUAAGGCGAGGCCGAAAGGCGUAGUCGAUGGGAAACAGGUUAAUAUUCCUGUACUUGGUGUUACUGCGAAGGGGGGACGGAGAAGGCUAUGUUGGCCGGGCGACGGUUGUCCCGGUUUAAGCGUGUAGGCUGGUUUUCCAGGCAAAUCCGGAAAAUCAAGGCUGAGGCGUGAUGACGAGGCACUACGGUGCUGAAGCAACAAAUGCCCUGCUUCCAGGAAAAGCCUCUAAGCAUCAGGUAACAUCAAAUCGUACCCCAAACCGACACAGGUGGUCAGGUAGAGAAUACCAAGGCGCUUGAGAGAACUCGGGUGAAGGAACUAGGCAAAAUGGUGCCGUAACUUCGGGAGAAGGCACGCUGAUAUGUAGGUGAAGUCCCUCGCGGAUGGAGCUGAAAUCAGUCGAAGAUACCAGCUGGCUGCAACUGUUUAUUAAAAACACAGCACUGUGCAAACACGAAAGUGGACGUAUACGGUGUGACGCCUGCCCGGUGCCGGAAGGUUAAUUGAUGGGGUUAGCGCAAGCGAAGCUCUUGAUCGAAGCCCCGGUAAACGGCGGCCGUAACUAUAACGGUCCUAAGGUAGCGAAAUUCCUUGUCGGGUAAGUUCCGACCUGCACGAAUGGCGUAAUGAUGGCCAGGCUGUCUCCACCCGAGACUCAGUGAAAUUGAACUCGCUGUGAAGAUGCAGUGUACCCGCGGCAAGACGGAAAGACCCCGUGAACCUUUACUAUAGCUUGACACUGAACAUUGAGCCUUGAUGUGUAGGAUAGGUGGGAGGCUUUGAAGUGUGGACGCCAGUCUGCAUGGAGCCGACCUUGAAAUACCACCCUUUAAUGUUUGAUGUUCUAACGUUGACCCGUAAUCCGGGUUGCGGACAGUGUCUGGUGGGUAGUUUGACUGGGGCGGUCUCCUCCUAAAGAGUAACGGAGGAGCACGAAGGUUGGCUAAUCCUGGUCGGACAUCAGGAGGUUAGUGCAAUGGCAUAAGCCAGCUUGACUGCGAGCGUGACGGCGCGAGCAGGUGCGAAAGCAGGUCAUAGUGAUCCGGUGGUUCUGAAUGGAAGGGCCAUCGCUCAACGGAUAAAAGGUACUCCGGGGAUAACAGGCUGAUACCGCCCAAGAGUUCAUAUCGACGGCGGUGUUUGGCACCUCGAUGUCGGCUCAUCACAUCCUGGGGCUGAAGUAGGUCCCAAGGGUAUGGCUGUUCGCCAUUUAAAGUGGUACGCGAGCUGGGUUUAGAACGUCGUGAGACAGUUCGGUCCCUAUCUGCCGUGGGCGCUGGAGAACUGAGGGGGGCUGCUCCUAGUACGAGAGGACCGGAGUGGACGCAUCACUGGUGUUCGGGUUGUCAUGCCAAUGGCACUGCCCGGUAGCUAAAUGCGGAAGAGAUAAGUGCUGAAAGCAUCUAAGCACGAAACUUGCCCCGAGAUGAGUUCUCCCUGACUCCUUGAGAGUCCUGAAGGAACGUUGAAGACGACGACGUUGAUAGGCCGGGUGUGUAAGCGCAGCGAUGCGUUGAGCUAACCGGUACUAAUGAACCGUGAGGCUUAACCU
rnacentral:rRNA from 1 species